rnacentral:rRNA from 1 species
GACGUAGGGCGCGAGCGUUGUCCGGAUUUAUUGGGCGUAAAGGGCUCGUAGGCGGUUUGUCGCGUCGGGAGUGAAAUCCACUGGCUUAACUGGUGGCUUGCUUUCGAUACGGGCAGACUGGAGGUAUGCAGGGGAGAACGGAAUUCCUGGUGUAGCGGUGAAAUGCGCAGAUAUCAGGAGGAACACCGCGGCGAAGGCGGGCGCUGGUCGGCGAACUGACGCUGAGGAGCGAAAGCUGGGUAGCAACAGG